CCUACGGGAGGCAGCAGUAAGGAAUCUUCCACAAUGGACGAAAGUCUGAUGGAGCAACGCCGCGUGCAGGAUGACGGCCUUCGGGUUGUAAACUGCUUUUAUAUGGGAAGCGGUACCAUAUGAAUAAGGACCGGCUAACUACGUGCCAGCAGCCGCGGUAAUACGUAGGGUCCAAGCGUUAUCCGGAAUCACUGGGCGUAAAGCGUACGUAGGUGGCGUGUUAAGUGAGAUGUUAAAUCGUGUGGCUCAACCAUACGUUGUGUCUCAUACUGGCAUGCUAGAGGACGGCAGAGGCAAGUGGAAUUACGAGUGUAGCAGUGAAAUGCGUAGAUAUUCGUAGGAACACCAAUGGCGAAGGCAGCUUGCUGGCCCACCUGACACUGAGGUACGAAAGCGUGGGGAGCGAACAGGAUUAGAUACCCUUGUAGUC
rnacentral:rRNA from 1 species